UAAAUAUGACAGUAAUAUUAUAGGUACCUACCAAUACUGAACAGUUAUAAACGCGUAAAACCGAACCGAUUAUUUGUCACUACGGUUACGCGCCGAAACACUAUAACAUAACGCGGGGUGUAGCGGCGCGCGCGCAUUGCGCUGGAAAUGUCGGCACAUAAUAAUUGUAUUGACCCGCAGAAAAUGCGAAACAAGUCGAUUGGACUCGGGCAAAAGCGGUUUCUGUACUAAUUAUUCGACCGUUGCCGUGCUCACGUGGUAUUGUGUGUCGGCAAUGUGUACAGCGCCGCGCACAGACGGUUCUGGGAUGGGUGGGCGAUGGCCUAAAGGUAUCUGCACACCGUCGCUGUUAAAGCAUAUCGUGGGGUAAUGCACCGGUAUAACGUGUAAAAGCCGAUUUGUGGGAAAGUUUACGAGUAAAAACGUGCCAAUUUCGGCGGCUGUUGUUAAAAUUCGGAAUACCGUAUAGAGCGCGCUGUUCAUCGCGACUAUUCGCGAUUUGAAUAUUCGCGUUCGGUGUAACCGUAUCGUUUUAUAAUAUGCGUAAAUAAUACUAUAGUACACCUAAAACGCGGAGCGAUUGAUGCGUAAUUUCUAAACAACGAAAUUC